rnacentral:misc_RNA from 1 species
GAUGAAGAACGCAGCGAAAUGCGAUAAGUAAUGUGAAUUGCAGAAUUCAGUGAAUCAUCGAAUCUUUGAACGCACCUUGCGCCCUUUGGCCAUUCCGAAGGGCAUGCCUGUUUGAGUAUCAUGAACACCUCAACUCUUUAUGGUUUUCCAUGAUGAGCUUGGACUUUGGGGGUUUUGCUGGCCUAUGGUCGGCUCCUCUAAAAUAAAUCAGCUUACCGGUGUUUGGUGGGUAUCAUGGGUGUGAUAACUAUCUACGCUUGUGGUUUUUCCACCAGGUAACCUUCGACAGCGGAGGUUCACUGGAGCUCAUAGAUGUCUCUCCUCAGCGAGGACAGCCCUUUGAAUGUUUGAUCUCAAAUCAGGUAGGACUACCCGCUGAACUUAAGCAUAUCAAUAAGCGGAGGA